AUACGGAGGGUGCAAGCGUUGUUCGGAAUUAUUGGGCGUAAAGGGCGCGUAGGUGGUUGUGAUAGUCAGAUGUGAAAUCCUUCGGCUUAACCGAAGAACUGCAUCUGAAACUUCAUAGCUCGAGUACAGGAGAGGGAAACGGAAUUCCCGGUGUAGAGGUGAAAUUCGUAGAUAUCGGGAGGAACACCAGUGGCGAAGGCGGUUUCCUGGCCUGAUACUGACGCUGAGGCGCGAAAGCGUGGGGAGCAAACAGGAUUAGAUACCCUGGUAGUCCACGCGGUAAACGGUGAACACUAGGUGUGGGAGGUGUAAUACCUUCUGUGCCGAAGCUAACGCGUUAAGUGUUCCGCCUGGGAAGUACGGCCGCAAGGUUGAA
rnacentral:rRNA from 1 species